AUUUACGACCUCCCUGGGUUUUGAUGACAUCAUCAAGGACUUCACCUCGUCAAAAGUAAGGAGAAAGCAUCUGUAAAUAUGAGUUUUACCUUGAGAUGAUUAGAACAUGGAAGAGCUACAGUUCAUGCCCACGCAUGAUAGAAGCAUGCCGUCUGUACAGGGAGGGAGCAGUGCGAAAUCUCUCAUUUCUGGCAAAAAGUUAUGGUGUUGACAGGAAGUCAUUAAGGCAGAGAGUGAAGGAGCAUCUGAGUAUUGAUGCACAACAGGGACAUGCCAUCUACCUGGGUCCAGCGGUAGAGCAGGAGAUUUCAGAGUGUCUUCAGGUAGGGUUAUAGUGACUGAUAGGCUAAGAAAAAGAUAACAUGAAGCAGUGGGUAUCCUAAUAUGAGGUCAUGAAAAAUGUGAUUUUGCGUAAUCCAGUGGUUCUCAGUGUGUGGCCUGUGGGUAUGUGUGUGCACUUGUGUAUGUGUUUGUGUGCGCUUGCAUAAGUAACAUUUGAAAAUCAAUUAAAGUUAUUGUUUAAUUGUAAAUCCUGUAAUUGACUCAUUUACUAUCCUUAGAACCUCAGUAUUAAACCUGCAAACUGUUUUUCUUUCAGUCAGUCAGUCAUUAGAAAUCUUCAUAAAAACACCCGCACUUUCAACCAUCUGGCUGGACCAGAAAUUUUGGACAAUUUCAAACACCAACAGCACACCAUAGGAGAGAGAUACGGACCAAAUGUCAACGCAUAUUGAAAGAUUAAGUAUUAAAGAGUCAUUUACACUAUAGUUUUGAUUUUGUUCAUGAAUAGUUUUCCAAAGAAGACGUGUUGUAAGUUUAGCUUUUUCUACAUUGACAACACAGCAAAAUGGCUGGUCACGCCCAUUUCAAAUGCCAUUUACAGGCCAUAGGAUAGGAGUGAAGACACGGUGAAAAAAGCAAUUGAGAGCUAAGAGAUUACAGAUUUGAAUAGAACAAUAUGUAUUUUCAAGAUUUUUUAAAUAAGUAUAAUUAUUUAUCAACAAAUCAUGAAGUGGGCUUAUUUGGAACACCCACGGGCUUAAAGGGUACGUUAGGUACCCAUUAAGCCCAUGCCUGACUUUUGACAUAUUUUGACAAAUUAAACAAUAAAAACAUUAGAAAUUGGUAUUAAUAGAUUAUUGACACUUCAAAUGAGAGAUUAGACUUUCAUUUUAAAUAAAAUGUUUUCACUUAAAUUGGGGCAGUACAUAUUAAAAAUGUCAGAAAAGGGGAUUUGGUGGGCUCAAUAGGGACAUUUACCCAACAUGUCAUACUACUUCAGGGUCCAACUAACAUAGAACAAGACUAUGUACUGAGGUAUCCUUAUCAAAUCCAAAGGAGUUCCAGUCCCUAAGCAGCACCAUGUUGAAUUAAUUCAAGCUGGUCUGGAGGCACAAAGGGGUUCAACCCAAAACUUGGGAGGUUAAUUCAAAAAAGUGGCCCCUGAGUCUGUGUAUAAGGUUUUCCCCAAAUUCAUUGACUUGAUGCAUUGAUAGAAAGACAGUACAUACUGGUACUAGUACCUGCCCAUUUAAGACCAGCAGAUGAUGGACACAUGCAGGUCAGUCUGGCAGAUUCAAGAGCUCUGCCGAUAUCACAGAUAUAGGCUAUUGAACCAUAGAAGAGUCACCGAGUGUUGUGGGUAGCUCUUAACAGUUGCAUAUUAUCAUUAAAAAAAACAAAAAACUAUUAAAGCUGUAAGCAGCAAUGAACAGGCCCUCACACCUCACAUGCAUCAGAGGGAGCUCCCAGAGAUCCGUCGACACAGCUCUGAAUUUUCAGGAUUAUAGGAAACUGUGUGAAUGGGUAAAAUAUUAUUUCCUGUGUGCGGUAUGUGGUGCUGGAGAUGACAUGUUGGAAAUUGCAUAUACAUCUGAUGAACUAUGUGUUACCUAGGCUUCACUUCCUGUUGCCAGUAUGGGGUGCUACACAAGUGGGUCAUUAAUGCAGCAAUACAUAUAGUGGAGACUGACAUGCAUAUGCAUUUUCAUGAAUAUCGGACGUUGCAUGACGGAGUAAAAUAUCACUUCCUGUGUCCACUAUGUGGGGCUAGAAAACACCUACUAAUUAAAUGUCAUGUUGCUGCAUAUCAUGUGUAGACCACACCAUAUCAAUUUCAUGUAAAUCUGAUGAUGUUGGUCACAUAUAGCUGACUUCCUGUUGUCAGUAGGUGUUGCCAUGACUAUGAGUCAAUAUGGGCAUGUAGAUGACUUCAGGCCUGGACUCUUAUCUAGCAUGUGAAAUUUGGGGCAGAUUGGACAAUGAGAAUUCAAGUUACAACAGCUUCCUCUUUCAUGGCAAAACAUGCAAAUUUUCUGUAUUGCUUUGGCAACGCCAUCCCAUUAAAAACUCAAAAGCUUUGCAAUUUGGCAUUGCAAAGGUCUUGAGAUUUUGCCUACCAAAUUUGAGGUGGACCUUUUGAAUCCUCUAGGAGGAGUUUCAGAAAGUUCCAUACCUGUAAAGUGCCUAAAAUGGCGUGUUGUCAAAUGACCUAUGACAUCAUCAUUUGAGAUAUCGAGUAUGCCGUCACAAUUUAGUGUCACAUUAGUCUGAGGGUUAUAUCAACCAAAUUUCAAAUGAAUCCGAUAAACCCUGUAGGAGUUCGAAAAAGUUUGCUUAAAAUACAGAAAAAACACACAAAAUUCAAAAUUGCCAACUUCUGGUUGGGCAGAGGUAAUGAAGGCCAAUGUGAAGUAUGUAUGUCUGAAAUGAUGACAACAACGUGCAUUCCAAAUUUUGUGAAUAUCGGAGCAGCUUUAUCCUGAUUAUGGCCUGCCACGCAUUAGGGGGCACUAUGGAGCCCACUGGCCAUGCCUGAGCCCAGUCACCACAGAACUUGGCAAUUUUCACCGGUUCUGAUGUGUGUGCUAAUUUUCAUGAGUUUUCAAGCAUCCCAAGCCCCUCUCAAAUGCAAUGGGGUAGGAGAAUAAUAAUCUCCACAAAAACAAUAGGUUCCUCACACUGUCAGUGCCAGUAACUGUUUCAUGCUUGGGCCCUAAAAAGAGCAAAAUAUAACAGUGAACAAACUUUUUUUCUGAGCUGGUGUGGUAUGGCAAUAGCUCUGUGGCUGACAAGAAGGCUCUGUAGAGAGCCAUCAAAACAGCCCAGAAAAUUACCAUCACACAUCUGCCUGCCCUGCAAGACAUCUAUAUGUCCCCUUGCCUGCGGAAGGCAUUUCACCCCAUCCAUCACCUUUUUGACCUUCUGCCCUCAGGAAAGCGCUACAGGUCCAUCAAAGCACACACCACAGAACUAAUGAACAGUUUUUACCCCAAAGCCAUCACCACAUUGAACUCUGCUCUGAAGGCACACCCUCCAUAGACAACUCUUACUGUACAAUACUGUGCAAUAUCGUUACUAAUUCUGUGCAAUACCUUUAUUUAUAUUGAUAUAUUUAUACUGUGCAACACUGAUAUUGGUUUUUUUUGGUAUGUGCGUUUGGAAUUGGGUCUGUCAGUGCGUGUGAAAUGAAUAGGUUUAUUCUUAAUCUUGGAUAUUGAGUUCUGCUCAGACAGCGUACCUGAAUUUCGUUGUAUACACCAGUACAAUGACAAUAAAGGAAUUCUAAUUCUAACUUUAAUUUUUUUCUUUUAACACACUCCUGUGGGGUUGCUCAAGUGUAAUCCGUGGGCGUAUUUGUGUGUCCAACUUCACGUGUUCUUAAAAUGUGCAUAUGUAUCUGAGCAUGUGUGUA